UUUCUGUUGAUUUAUAGCUUAGUCGGUUUACAUGGUUCAGUUUUGUGUUAUUAUCUGAAUAUCUGAGUUUUCAUUUGGUUUUGGAAUGUAAUAAAGGAUUUGUGUUUUCUUGAAAUAAAAAUGGUUUUCUACCCCUCGUGGUAGCGUUUUAAAAAGAUAAAAGUUUCCGUGUAGGGAACAGUUUUCAAAGGGUUUUCUGUGAUUUUGUAUCUUAGUAUUUCAAAACCUGUUUCUGUGGUUGGAAAUAUUUUAACUGAUAGAUGUGAAUUUAUGUUUAAAUAUUGAAUGAAAAAAUGUGAAUCUGUGGUGAAUGGUGUAUGAAUAUAUAACUGUGGUUAUUUGUAUGUUCAUCUGGUUGUGGUUGUAUCAUGUUUGAACUCUUGUACUUGUGCGACGCCGUGCAAAUACAGGGGAGAUUCUGUUCGUGUGAACAGUGGAUCUUCUGUAUUUGUGGUGGAUCUGGCAUACCCUGGGGUCAGGUUUUAAAAAAAAAAAAAAUUCAGACGCUUUUCCGCUAUACUUUAAACUAAAAAGGGACCCCGGGGCGUGACACGGCACCAGCACCAGUACCACAGGAUUCACAUCGAGCAGCUGAUAUUGUUUAUUAUAGGCGCCGACGGCAUAUGCAGUCUAUCCGUACAGAUCAACCCUCAUCUUCAGCUCCUCCACGGCCAGACAUACUACCGACAGCUGCUAUUGCUGUGAUUGAGCCGGUUAUUGAGGGUAUUGCUAUCGAGCAUCUGGACCAGUUGGAGAUCUUAGAGCCUUUUGAUGAGCAUGGUGUUGAUCGUGGUCGCGGACGUGGUAGGCGACGUGGUCGCGUGAGUAGGAGGAGAACACGAUAUUAUAUUUCUAUAUUAUUGUAAAACUUGGUUUAAUUUGGAUAUUCUGUUGUGAUUAUCUGGUAUUGAUAUUUUAUUGAGAUUCUAUUGGUAGUGAUGUGUAUAUUGUACUGUUGUGUUGUGAUGCUGUGAUGUUGUAUUGUACUGUUGCGUUUAGGUAUCUGUAUUGUAUUAUUGUAUUGUGAUAUUGCGAUGUGUAUUGAUUUGAUUUUUUGCGCCAAAAAAAUGGCUAAGUUAGGAUAGUUCUAUUCGACACGGUGAACCAUUCACUGUGUCCAAUACAAAUAACCGGGACUUAGCCGUUUUUGGCUUACUUCCGGGUAUUUGUAUUAGACACGGUGAAUAGUUCACCGUCUCUAAACACGGUGAUCUGUUCACCGUAUUUAGACACGAUGAACCAAUAACUGUGUCCAAUGUAUUAUUCACACCCUGACUUCGGUGUGUAUAAUACAUUGGACACGGUGAAUCAUUCACCGUGUUUAAACACAGUGAACGGUUUACCAUGUUCAACUUAAACAUCUGGCCCCAGCCACGCCCGCGUGGCGCUGACAUGACACUUGCAUUGCAGGGUCAAGACCAUUUUUAUAAAUAAAUUUUUGACAGGACUAAUGUUUUUUAAAAAAUUUGUCACGUGGUUAUUUGUAAAAAAAAAAAAAAAAAAGCCCGAGCAGAAAGGAGUUGUCCUUUUGCGUAGAAAAAAAAAGCCCGAGCACAAAGGAGUGAUGUCCUUCUGCGUAGAAAUUAGUCGCUGCACCUGAUGUAACCUCUACUUGCUCCACACGACUACACCGGAUAAAAAGUAUAUGGAUGUAAUAAUUAAAUAUAUUUCUAAUCGCACUAAGUGAUACUUACUUUUCACAAUCCUCAGUGGAGUAUUAGGUAAAAAAAAAUUUAUCAAAUGUGUGAAAAUAUUAUUUUUCUAUCGGUAAAAAUAUAUAAAAUUUAUUUUAGCCGUAGAUUAUCUCAAGCCGAGUAUCUGACUCUUCAAAUUAAGAUUUAAUUUUAGGGAUAAUUGCCUAUAUACCCCUCAUACGCUCAGAUAUAUCCGAUCUACCUCUGUUUUUUUUUCUUUCUAAAAUGCCCCUCAUAUGUUCCACCGUUAUUCUAAAAUACCCCUGCAGUUAUCCUCUGUUAGCUUAACUCGGGUUAAACAUGGGUUAAAUGUAUACUAGAGUUAAAAUCUAAAUAAAAUACCUAUUUUGCCCCUACCAUAUUAUACUAAUUCCUUAAGUUAUCCUCCUCAUCCUCUUCGUCAUUCUCCUUCUCCCUCCUCCUCCUAUCGUCGUCCCCCGCCCCGCCCUCGACUCCCUCCUGUCCCUCCGCGAUGUCGUCCUCUCCGAGCGCUUCUGCUGGGGCGACCACCUCCGCCCCUUGGUCCCCUCCCCGCGCGCCUCUGCCGCCGCCAACUUCUCCGCCCUUUCGAAGCGCAAGCUCCGUGCCCUCCAGGAGCUCCUCCAUUCCAGGACCAGCUCCUCCACGAGCUCCUCCUCCGCCGCUCUCGUCGUCAUCGUCCUCCUCCUCCGCCGUCUUGGCCGGCGCCGGGAGCAAGAGGGCUGCAACGACGAUCCCAUCUCGCCCGAGGCCAUCUGCGUGCCGGAAGCAAGAGGGCACGGUGUUGCGCGCGGAGGGGAGAAGCGUGUGCGCGGUCCACGGUGGACCUCCCUCUUAUUAUAUAUAUAAAUAAAUAUAUAAAUAUAUGUAUAUAUAUAAUUUUAUUUAUAAAUAUAUAUAUUUAUAUAGUAUUUUAUUUAUAUAAUAGAAAUAUUAUUAUAUAAUAUUUUAUUUAUAAUUUUUUAAUUAUUUAUUGAUAUUUUUAAAUAUAUAACUCUUAUAUAUUAUUAAUAUAUAUUUAUUAUAAUUUUAAAUAUAUUUAAUCUAUAUAUAAAAAUUAUAAUAAUAAUAUAUAUAGUAUAUUAAUUAUUAUAUAUUUAUUACAUAGUUGAAUUUUUUAUUCCGAAAUUUUAAUUGGUGAACGUAUAAUAUCCGUAUAAAUCACGUAUCUGAAUAAUUGCCGAAUUCGUUUUUUAGCCGUAUUUUUCAACUAAUUUAAAAAUUAAAAGACGAAUUAUAUAUGUACCGAAUUUUUACCGAGUCCGAAUUAACUAACAUUACCUCUAGCCACCAAGUUUGGUUUAGCUGCGAUCGAUCUCAUCUGUUCAUCUGCUCGCUUCUGACGUGCUUUAUUAAUUAAUUGAUAUUUGAAGGGCAAAUUAGAAAAGUAUUUGCUAUAUGAAGGGUAUAUAAGAAAAGUUAGUUACGGUACAAGGGUAUAUUGGAAUGAGCAAAAUGGUAAUUUUCCAGAGAUAACGGCAGCUCACUGACGGAACUUAACUACAGGGGUAUAUUAGAAAGACUUGGAACAUAAGAAGGGUAUUUUCAAUAUUAGCCUUCUAAGAGGGGUAAAUAAAAAAAAACAGAAACUUUUCAGGGAUAUAUAGGCAAUUGUCCCUUAAUUUUACUAUAUAAUUUCUUAAUUUAUGUGAUUUGAGUCUGUAAACAAAUUUUUGGACUUUUAAAUUUACAUCUAUUAUUUAUUUUUAUAUAAUUUAAUUAGUAUAUUUUAUAUAGAAAUCGCUGAUUCAAUUAAAUUAAUGAUUCAUCUGCUAAUUGAACCGAUAACUCUUGAACUGUGUAAGCGAACCCGUGGCUUGGUUUUUCAGAACAUUGAGAUAUACGUGUUAGCAGGUAGGUUGGGUGGGCCACCACUGCAGCAGUCUCAUGAUCUCAUCCGCAUCUCACACACGCACACACCACUCACACCACUCACACACUCGAUCGGUCGAUCUCUCAUUUCAGUUUCAGGGUCUGAUCCACUAGCUCGCUAAUCCCCGGUGAUUGAUGAUGGACGGCGGUCCUCCCGGGGCCCAGACGGAAGCGGCGGUGGAGGCGGCGUGCCGGGCGGUCGGGGGAACGGAGCUGAGCUGGUGUCGGGCCGUCCCGGGGGGCACGGGCACGACCGUGCUAGCGCUGCUCCUCUCCCGCCCCGCGCCGCUCCUCCUCCCCUCCCUCGUCUCCUGCCUCCGCUCCCUCCUCCGCUCCCACCCCCUCCUCCGCUCCCUCCUCUCCCUCUCCUCCCCGACUCCCGCCUUCUCCGUCCCCAGCCCCGAUCCCCCAGCCACCCCGCAGCUCCCCCCCUUCCUCCUCCUCCUCCCCAGCCCCAUCUCCCCCUCCGCCGACUCCUUCCACUCCGUCCUCGAGCUCGAGCUCAACCUCAACCCGUGGAGCUCCCCCGCCCCCUCCGACCCCCUCCCCGUCUUCUUCGCCGCGCUCCACCCCCUCCCCCACGGCGACGGCGACGGCCACCGCUCCGUGCUCGCCCUCAAGUUCCACACCGCCGCGUGCGACCGCACCUCCGCGGUCGCGAUCCUCACCGAGCUCAUGCGCUUGAUGGCGGCGGAGGGAAGAACUGCUGAAGAGGCGGAAGAAGAAGAAGGAGGAGGAGGAGGAGGAGGAGCAAGCGGAGAAGAUGAUGCGGGGUGCGAGUUGGGGAUCGAGGAUCGGAUUCCGAAGAGGGACGCGUGGAAGCCGUUCUGGGCGAGGGGGAAGGAUUUGAUCGGGUACUCGCUGAACGGGUUGAGAACGUCCACGCUCCGGUUCGAGGACGCCGCUUCCAACCGCUGCUCCCAAGUGGUCCGGUUCGUCAUGGACGCCCCCGAGACGCGGAGUCUCCUCCGUGUAAGUUUUACUGUUUCUCUGACCCCACAAUAUUUUCGACCGGAUUUUAUUUUGGUCGUCCAACCUUUUUUUUUAUUUUAAUUUUACAUUUUUAAAUCAUUUUAUUUUUAAAUUUAUUUUACUCGUUUUUGAGCAAUGAAUGCCUACAUAAUACACCUACCUACAUUAUAGAACGGUGGUAUGAUUUACACCCUAAAACCUACACUACAUUCUCCCGCUAGCCUUAUCAACUUUUUUUUUUUUCUUUUAAAUUAUUAUUUUUAUUUUUUGACCAGGCACAGACAUCGUGAAUUAAUGAAGUUUUUGGUACCGAAAAAUGACCUGGUUGUCAAAUUUAGUAGAUUGGGAACCUAGGUAAAGAAAUUAAACACGUGCAAACAUUUGGAAUAUCAAAUAAAAAAACUUAAUUUAGGACCAGAGUGAAAACUUGGAUAGACGUUCUGGAAUAACUGAUGUUGUAAUGUAUGUGUUCUCUAAUUUCAAUUUUAAGACGUACGUUGAUCUCUAAGUUAUAAUAUUAAUUGGUCUCAAUAAUUAAUUGCUCGGAGAAUGUCAUUGUCUAAUUCGGAAAAAAAAAAGUGGUUUCUAUUAAUUAUGAUUUUUGACAUGUACAUGUUUUAAAUGUCAUGGAAAACAUUUAAUGAGUUACAUUUUGACGGUGAAAUCUAUGUGAAGGGGUUAAAGGGGUGCGCUGUCACUGUGUGAAGAAGUGUAUUUAAACAUCCGGCCGGUGAGGGCAAAUAAUUUCUACAGUAGUACUGCUACUGCAGUACUCUUUUUCUGUCUCUAACGCCUUUUUCCCGCGAAGAAGUGAUGUGGACGUGCAACUGAUUAAAGUGCUACCUCGAAGGCCUAAUAGAUCCGUUUGUCUGCCAUAGUGUACCAGCGUUUCAUUGGGGUGCCAAGAUGGACAGAUAGUGGUGAAUCUCCCUCAUAUGAUGUUUAUGCCUCUAAAAGAGAGGCUUGCCGACCAUGAGCCCAAUAAGAUUCAUGGGUAACUAGUUAUUUGAAUAGUUAUUUCUCAUUUCUACCCCUGAAAUGUGAAUUGGCGGUAACAGUACUCUUGUUUCAAAACUUUUGUUACUCAAAUCUCUUGGGCCUAUAAAAAGGAAUUGAUCUUAUUGGGCCCAGAUCAAAUUGGUCCUCGUGGGCUUCCGUUGUUUGAACUUAUCGAACUUUGUAGGAUAUGUUUUGUUUAGAUAGCUAAUCAGCAGAGCUCACUGUACUUUAGGCAUGCAGGGCAAAAGGAGUUAAGCUCUGUGGAGCCAUUGCAGCUGCUGCAUUGAUAGCUGCGCACUCAUCAAAACAGCUCGAGAAUGGUUGCUACGAGACGUACUCCGUUGUGACCCUGAUUGAUUGUCGGAAAUAUUUGGAACCUGUUCUAGACAAGCAUAAUGUUGGUAAGUUUCUUUCAAUUGUCGAUGCAAACAACAAUAGUUAGUCGCAAUGAAAUUCGUUUGCUGUAAACCACCUCAAUUCAGUAUUUGUGUGGUAGACUUGAGUCGCUUGAUCAUGUUCAAGGCGCUUGCUAUAUUGAUAACAAUUCAUGCUCUGGUAAGAUCUCUAUCCUCUUUCAACUCGAAUUCUACAUUGACACCUUAUUUGCUGCUUUCUUGACUUGAGUCGUUCUCAUUUGCUAUCAAAAUCACCAGCAGUUUUGUACUUGGACAAUAGUCAUGUGACGACGUGUAUUAAUUCCUCUUAUAACAAUGCACUUGGAUAGACAUAAAUGCAUGAUUGUAUUAACAGGUCCAAUUGCGAUAUUGACAAAUAGAUCCAUUAAAUAUGGUCGCUAUUAAUAGCCUGCACUUCAUGUUAUUAUUCAAUAAAUCUCGCAUGCUCCUAUGAAAAGUGAAUUUGUUAAUAAUAACGCUUGCUGACAAAUUCCUAUAAAUAAGAAACAUGAUAAUUAAAGAGGUCUUAAUGAUAACGCUCGCUGACAAGUUCCCAAAGUUAUAUAUUUAUGGGACCUAUCAAAAUGGCCUGUAGUUGGAAGGAGUAUAUAUAUAUAUAUAGCUUUUCACUUUUCAAAGUACUAGAGCCAUGUGUACUUCGUAUAUCUUCUGUGACGGAAACUAACAAAUAUCUUCAAGUAUCAUGAUUAUUGCAUUGCUAUUCCUCGUUACAACCAGUGAAAGUGUUUUUAUGUAUAGAAAUCUACAACUCGACCGUUCACGGUAAAGGCGUUUGUUUGUUACCUGCUUUGGUAUGUAUGUCUAAAUGCAUACUCUCCUAGUGUUGGAAAAUGAAAAGCAAGAUUAGGAACAUAAAUAAGUUUCACGUCUACUUGGCAAGCUUAUUCAGAAGGCUAAACUUUUGCAGGAUUCUAUCACUCGGCAAUCACGAACGCACACUCAAUCCACGGGGGUGAAGGACUAUGGGAGGUAGCCAUUCGGUGCCACAACUCCUACUCCAACGCGAUGAGCAACAAGAAGCACCUCACAGACAUCGGCGACCUCAACUUCCUCAUGUGCAAGGCCAUUGAGAACCCCCAACUCACCCCGUCCUCCUCCCUCCGUACGGCAAUCAUUUCUGUGUUUGAGGAACCCGUGGUCUACGAAACCUCUGACCUGCAAAAGGCGCUCGGGGUGGAGGACUAUGUGGGGUGCGCGUCGGUUCACGGCGUGGGGCCCUCUAUUGCCGUGUUUGAUACAAUCCGGGACGAGCAGCUGGACUGCGCCUGUGUGUACCCUGCCCCCCUCCAUUCGAGGAAGCAGAUAGAAAGGGUGGUGGAGCAUAUGAAGCGUAUUCUGAUUGAAGGAAGUAGUCAUUUAGACGAUCACGAGGACUUUGUCGAAAAUAAUGAUUGAAGUAGUAGGGCUUCGUGUAUAUGUUCUGCUGAGAAAUAAUUCUAUUCUCUUUCAUUAAAAUUGGAGAGGACAAUUUGGUAUUGUAUGUUGCCCAUAAUUAAGAUGACCUUACUUAUGGUGUGUUUGGUUCGCACUAUCUUUUAAAGAUUCCUAGUAAUCCAAUAGGAAUUAAAAAAUAUGACGGUGUUUGGCUAAACGCAAUAAGUAAUCUAGUUGGUAAUAUUGGAUUCACUUGGGAAUAAGAUUAAUCUCAUUCCCUUGAGGAAUGAUGUGUAUCUUCAUAUUAAUGGAUUGGGGUAAUCAUAAUAUGUCUACUCUCUUUCUUUCUCCCUAUCCGCCGGCUAAUCGAUAUUAUUUUUCUUUACACUCUAACGUCGUAUUUUUCUCUAAACUUAUUUUUCUCUUUAAAAUUCAACUUUUUUUUCUCUCUCUAAACUAAGCUUUAUCUCUCUCUCUUUCUAAAAUCUCAACUCUCCCACUUUCUCUAAUUUCGACACUAUUUCUCUUUCUAUUUUUUUUAAUUAUGCUCUCUCUCUCUAACUUAUGCUCUCUCUUUCUUUUUUCUAAAAAAAUGUUGAAACUUUUGGUAGCACUAUCUAAAAUUAAUAAAUAAAUAAAUAAAUAAAUUGUAUAUUUUUUGGAAUAUUAAAUAAUAUGGCUAAAUAAUAUUACCGUGCGAACUAAACACUGAAAUUUCACAUUCUUAGUAAUAGGAUAAAUAGGAAUAAGAUUUUCAGACAUCUUUUCAUUCCUAGUAAUAUUUUAUAAUGCAAACCAAACGCACCCUACUGGUAAUGCUAUGCAGGCCCUGCACCUCCACUUUUCAGGUUCUUGUGUCAAGUCAAAACAAUGAUUUUGAAGCAUCAGAAUAAAGAAAUUCCUGCUAUUACGAGGCUGCGUGCUCUUUUGGUACCAAUAUGUGCAAGUGAGACCUUUUUCUGUGUCUCCAAAUCAUGGGCCACCGAAAGAUUUCAGAGAAAUGUAUUUCUAUAAUCCUUUUCCGAGCCUGGCGCAGGUGAAGGUGACGGUCACACUAAUAAACAGGCUAUAAAUCAUCAAUAUCAAUACAAAUAAUAAAAGUUGGGUAUGUACGGCGCCCUCCCCGCGUUUCGCGGGGGCUUCCGCGCUCGCGAGGAAGAGAGAAAGAGAGAGAGAGAGAGGAGAGAGAGAGGGUGAGAGAGAGCAGACAGAGAGAGAGAGGGAGAGAGAGGGAGAGAGAGCAGACAGAGAGAGAGAGGGACAGAGAGAUAGAGAGAGAGCAGACAGAGAGAGAGAGAGGUAGAGAGAGAGAGGGGGGACACGGGGGCCCCAAGGGCCCGCGCGUAGAGAGAGAGGGGGGACACGGCGGGGUGGCCGGGUACCCGACCCGCGCCCCGCUGCGCAGGGGGCGCGCGGAAGAGAGAGACAGAGAGAGAGAGAGAUGACACGGGGGAGCCCCCAAGGGCCCCCGGCCGCAUGCAGCGGAGGAGAGUCUCUCUCUCCCGCCUACCUCUUUACCUCUCCUGCUGGCUCCCCUCUGCCUCUCCUCUCCCACCACCGAACCCCCCUCUCACGUCAUCUCCUCUCUCCCUUUGUCCCUCUCUUUCCUUCUUUUCCUACCCCCGCUCUCUCUCUCCUGGCCUCUCUCCCUCAGCAAGGGCGGCUGGCAUGCGGGAGAGGAGGCGCGGGGCGCGCACGCGGGAGGCAGAGGCGCUGGCACGGCGGGCGCAGCGGGAUGCGAGCAGAGCGGGAGAGGGCGCGGGGCCGUCUGUGCUGCACAGGUGUCGCGAUACGGGGGCUCCGCACCCGACGGCGCGGCGCUGGAGGUGAUGGCAACGCGCUCACAAGAUCUACCUGACACGGUGUCGGCAGAGGCCGAAGCGCGAGCAGGAACGGCGCCGGGCGCGGCAGCCAGCGGGCAGGCGGCGGGUCUGUGAGGAGCCAAGGCUACGGCCGUGUGGGCGCGGGCGGCCGCGGUCACGCUGCGGGCAACCUGCGCGGCGGCUUGGUGGUGGGUUGCAACGGGGUCACAGCGGCCAAGUGGCCCGUGGACCACACGAGAGGGAGGUGCCACGGUGGACGCUCCGCCUUCAUCCCUCUCUCUCGUCUCUCUUCUCUCUAUUAUAUAGAAAUUUUAUUUAUAUAAUAUAUAUAUAAAUUUAUUUAUAAAUAUAUAUUUAUGUAUUAUAUAUAGUAUUAUAUAUAUAUAAAAAAUAAUUAUAUAAUUAUAUAAUAUAAUAUAGUAUAUAUAAUCUACAUAACUAUUUUAUUUUAUAUAGAUAUAAUAAUAAAUAAAAUAUAUAAAUUAAUAUAUAUAAUUUAGACCUGCUGCUAUCGAUCGUCGCCGCGCUGCGCUACGCCACGGCGCGGCAAUGGCGCAUCCGGACGUCAAGCCCGCAGACCUGCUCCUCGCCAGGCGUGUCGACACAUCACUUUGACUUCGGGCUCGCCGCCUCGUGGAGCACGCGGCCGGACAGACCGCCUACCCGGUUCGUGCGGACCCCCGGCCUAAUCCAGUAUGUUUAUUAAUGCUCUUGAGACUUUCCGUUGAGUUGGUUAGAUGCCAUAGGAGCUUUAAUUUCAUUUAUUUAUUUGAAGGGCCCAUAGGAUUAGUUUGUUUUAAUUGUACGAACAUAUAUUUUUUCUACGGCAUUUCAUCCUCUCUCUCAGCUUCAAUUUUUUUUUUCUAUUUCUUUUGAGAUGCUCUUUGGAUGCAAGAUAGUAAUCAGUGCUCAUUUUGUGAAAACUGAGUUGCUUUUCCAAGAUAAAUUAUGUGAGAUUUGGACUGUGUUUGUAGAAUUUAUUAGUGUGCAGCGAAAGAAGUUAACUUGAAAAUGAGUUUUUAUUCCCCCUUAUUUGUGUUAGUCUCCUAGAUUAUUUAUCUGAGUAUCAAAUUGUAAAAUGAAGUGAAUCGUAUGCUUCUAGGCUUUUUCAAGCAUGUGGUAAAUUUCUGGGUUUCACUUCUAAUGCUACGGGUACGACGAAGCGCGCUGUCACGGACUGAACGAAUUUGCUCGCAAAAGUCCGUGCGGCGCUCGCCUUCCUUCGCGAAGUGAGCAAGCCUGCCUCUCUACUUGCUAAGUUAGGACCUCGCUCGCCCUAGACUAAGUACAAGAGAGAGAUAAGAAGAAAGCUCUUCUAUUACUUUAAUAGUUGAGAAUACAAAUGAGGAUUCUAAAAUUAGAGAGGUGGAGGCCACACUAUUUAUAGGCCACUCGCCGCCCAUAGUGCCAAUGAAAAGGUGCCAAGUGGCACAAUACUACAAGCCAAAAGGGGAGGCCAAUAAGUACGCUACGGUCUCCCAAGAGUCAUACAUUUAUUAUCCUAGAAACUUUAAGGGACUCUUGACCCUCCGGUAUCCGCACCAUCAGUCUCGAGAUCCGCGUAGAAGCUUCCAGAAGGUUCCAAGCCAAAACCUCCGUCAGAUGUCCGUUUUGGAGUUUGGGUGAUUGCAAAGCGAAAUCGCGGAGAAAAUUUUUGUGCCGUGACAAUCUGCCCCACCUAUUGCGCAGACGCCCUCGUCGCGCGCUGGUGUUGGAAGUCAUCGAUCAGCUUUUGAUACUUCCAGAGAGUGUCGGCCUUCUCCCAGCUUGCCUCGCCAUGCGGGAGAUUCUUCCACUUGACAAGGUACUCGACGCUCCUCGGGACUCCGCGACGCCGAAUGGUGCGAGUGUCCAGCAAGGCUUCGACCUCCUUGUCGAUUGCAGUGGUCAUAGUGGCGGGAGCGCGCUGCGACACGCCCCGGCUCGGGUCCUCCGCGUCUUCAUGGUAGGGCCGCAGGCAACUAGCAUGAAAGACAGGAUGAAUCUUCAGGUUAGCAGGGAGCUGCAGUUUGUAGGCUGCAUUGCCCGCUCGCUUGAUGACAGUGAAAGGCCCCUCGUACUUUCGCAAAAGUCCACGGUGCACUUUGCGAAAUGCCUUGAACUGUUGAGGCUGCAGCUUGAUCAACACUCGAUCUCCCUCGGCAAACUCCAAGGGUCGCCGCUUUGCAUCGGCCCACUUUUUCAUUCGGCGGGCCGCCUUCUCGAGAUAGGCUCUCGCAAUGUCCCCCUUCUCCUNNNNNNNNNNNNNNNNNNNNNNNNNAUAGUGUAAUCAAGUUCUAACGAGCCAAUCUGGAUUUGAAGCCACAUCAUGAAAAACCAACUGAGCAACGGAGCUUUCCGUGCUCCCAUAUUAUACCACCUAGCUUAUUAUAUAACCAAGUGUUUUUAAUUGGCGGACUUUCAAUCAACGAUCGGCUUCUGUUAUACUGAUCUACAUAUGAAAGUAUUUGGAAACUAAAUUUCAUAAUUUCAGCCGUCAAGAUACUAUCAACGAGUAUCUAGUCCAAAAUUGAACGGCUGAAAAAAAAAUCUCAUAAAAAAUAGAUGAUAGAAGACUUGAAUUAGAUCAGGGGUAUGACAUGUCGCAAUACUUGUUUAUUCUAAAUGGUUAAAAAAAAAAAUAUAAAAAUUUAUCAGAUUGGAUUUUUUACAAUCCGUUAAAUUCGAUAACGCCAUCACGUCUAUAAUCUGCCAUUAAAAUUGUGCAAUUUUUAGACUUUUGAUCACUAGCCAAAUAUUGUCGAAAAAUUAUAAAUUUUUAAUUCAGAAUAUUUUUAUAGUGUAUCAGUCUAGCGUGCGAUCGUCGAUUUAGAAGUGACGCAUCAUUAAAAACAAUUGUAACACGAGCCUCCGUGCUACUAUAAGAUAGACUAACCUAGCUCUCAUCUCUCUCUCUCUCUCUCUCUCUCUCUUCUUCUCUGUACUUAAUAUAUAUAUAAUAUAGCUGAGCUGGAAUGCUAUCCGGUAAGUAAACCGACUCUUGCAUACCCAUUGUUUUCGAUGAUGAGCCUCCAAAUACGACAUUCGGCAAUAGUUGACGGCAUAUCUAUGCCAUUAUGAAUCAUCUAAAACCAAAUUUUAUACUUUUCAAUAUUUUUCUAUUAUCCAUCAAAUAGACACAAAAUAACCGCUAAGAAUAAAUAUCUUUAAAAGUAAUAUAUGAAUUUAUAAUCAGAUCGAAAGUAUAAUCUUGUUCUUAAUAGUUUAAAGAAUUGUCUAACCAAAUCAAUUUAUUGAUAAUAUCUUUUACACUCGUUAAACGAAAAAAAAACGCUUCAUAUGACCCAUUAAAUUACAAAAUUUGAAAUCUUUAUCAUUAGGUCAAUGACCGUCAAAAAUAUUUGAAUUUUGAGUUCCCUAUAUACUUCAAGUGUAUAGAUCAUCUUCAACUGCAUCUUCGAUUUGAGCUCCAUAUCGAAAAUAAAUAUGCGCAAUGGCAGCCCGUUUCUAUUCGAUGUAUUCGCAGCUAACUCUCUCUCUCUCUCUCUCUCUAUAUUUUAUUAUUAUAGAGUCAGGCUGGAUACUAUCGAUAGCUACGAGUAUUUGUGCUCUAAUAAUUUUUCUGCCGUUAAUUUAUCUCUUUUAUCAUUUCAUUCCAUUCUGUUUACGGCCCCAACUUCAAUGGGUCACUCAUCUAGACUACUCCCGUCCCAGCACGCUUAACUCUCUUAACUCUUGGUCUUGCACCACCAAAAUCUUAAGCCGGCUAAAGAGUUUAGCCUAUUAUCUAUAUAUAGGACUACCCGGGUCUCACAAUCCUCCCUUACUAUCUAUCCUCGUCAGCCAGACAUAAGUAUCCAACGAGUGAGACUCGUUCACUUUAGCCUCAUCCAGACCCAUGGCUCCAGCGAGACUCAUCUCACACUUCGUCUGGUAUAUGGCUUAUACCAACUGCACGCCCAACUCCCAUGAGUCACCCAUCUAGACUACUCCGUAUCCCAGCACGCUUAACUCUUCUUAAACUCUUGGGUCUUCCACACCCAAAAUGCUUAAGCCUCGUAAGAGUUUUACCCUAGUAUAUCUUAUAUAUAGGAAACCCGGUCACACGUUCAUUUAUACAUUAUUCAACAACUACUUAUUCAACCUAGGCCCAUAUCAUCUAUCGCACAUCUUCUUAUUCAAAUGAAAGAAACUAAUACACCAAGUCAUUGUGCUAUUAUAGUAUUUUCAGCUUAGUUCUAUAUAUAUAUAUAUAUAUAUAUAGAUUAUAUAUAUAUAAGUUUGACUAUAAUACAUCGGUAGUAAACACUCGGUUUACUACCUAUUUGUUUUCGAUAUAGAUUCAAUAUAAUGAUCGGACACCUUCAACAUGAUUAAACUAUUAAACAUCUGGAAAUCAAAUUUACCUCACACCAUUUUUCGUUUAUUGUCUCUCUCCAUCAACUGAACAGAAAGAUGAAUGGCCUAGAAAUUAAAUAUCUUCAAAAGUGAUAAUACAUUUUAUAUUGAGAUCUAGCGUCUAGAUCUUAUUUAAAUAGUUUAAAGAAAUUUUCUAAUCAAAAAUUUAGUUGAUUUGAUACUUCUUAUACCGUUAAACGAGCAACUACACCCAUAUCGCGCUUAAAAUUACUUUGGCACAUUACUAUCGUUAGUUAGUUAUGCCAAAAUCAUGUAAAUUUUAUUUCUAGAUAAUUUAAAAUGGUUAGAUCAAUGUUCAACGUGCCGCGAUCGUGAUUAGCUAUCAUCAAAAACAAAUCGGUAUAAAACUGAGCAGCUUUACUACCAUAGUAGCCCAGUGCUCCAACGUAUUCAGUACAAUACAAUCAUAUCUACAUAUAUAUAUAUAUAUAUAUACUAUAUUAUUAUAUGUAUUUAUUAAUAUAUGAAACUUAUGUAUGUAUUAUGUAUUAAUUAGUAUGUAGAGAUAUACAUUACAUACAUAUAUACAUACAUAAAUACAUAAAUAUACAUAAUAUACAUAACAUACAUAUCCAUAUAUUACUAAUACAUACAUAUUUUAUAUAUAACAUACAUACAUAUAUUAUAUAUAUAAUACAUAUCAUAUAUCAUUCCAUAAUACAUUACAAAAUAUAUAUAUAUAUAUACAUACAUACUAUAUUAUAUAUAUAUAAAUGAUAAUAUAUAUAUAUACUAUACAACAUAAAAAUAUAUAUAUAUAUAUAAUACAUCCAUAUAAAUACUACGUACAUAUAUAUAUUACGUACAUAUAUAUAAAUAUGUAUCUACAUAUUAUAUAUGUAGUAUUAUAUAUAUGUUAACGUUAUGACUAUAUAUAUUACGUAUGUAAUAUAUAAUGUAUGUAUUAUUAGAUAAUAAUAGGUAUACAAGUAUAUAUAUAUAAUAUAUAUAUACAUGGAUAUAUACAGAUAUAAUAUAUAUAUUACAUCAUAUAACUAAUAUUAUAUAUCUGACAUGUAUAUAUAUAUAUAUGUAGUAUUAUUAUAUAUUAGUAAUGUAAUAUAUAUGUUGUAUGUAUUUAUAGAGAGAGAGACGGCAAGACACAGAGAGAGAGAGACGAGUAGAGAGAGCGCUAGGAUGCUUAUGGAAGCACGGAGGCUCCGUGCUCCUUGUUUUGCAAUGUUCUACUUCGAGAUCGACAAUUCGGCUCCUCGUUUAGACUUAUCUAGAGUAUUUGAAUACAUAGAAAUAAAUUUGCAUUUUCUGAUAUCAUUUGACUAUGUGAUCGACAGUGCAGGCUCAAAAAUUCAAACGCCUGAAAAUUAAAAAAUCUAUACAAAAACGCAUAAUAUGACAUUAAAAUUUUAGAUCAAAGUUAUUAUGUUGCUUUAUGUAGUAUAAAGAAUUUUCAAUCAAAAUAUUACUGAUUUUAUAUUUUCUACACGUUAAAAUUGCAAACAGUCACUACGGCCCAUUAAAAUUAUUCAAUUUUGAACCCCUCUCAUACUAGGGCAAAUGAUAUCGAAAAAUCAAAAAUAUUUUUUUACGGAUUUCACAAUAUCUAAAUCAAUCCUUAUGAGACCUGCAUCAACAAUUCGGCAAAAAUACGCCACAUCGAAAACAGGCCUGAAGCACGCAAGGCUCUGCUCUCCAGAAGCCAUAGAAGCCUUCCUCUCUCUCUUCUCUUCUCUCCUUCUUCUCUCCUAUAUAUUUAUAUAUACUUAAAUUAUAUAUUAUAUUAUUCCGAUGACUACUACAACAAUACAUAUGUUAAAGCGAGUUCACUUGGCCGACGUGGCGCUUUCUCUUAUCCCUCUCGAGAAAGAAAAAGAUAAAAGAGAGAGACGAAAGAGGAGAAAGAGAGACCGAGAGAAAGAGAGAAAGAAGAGGAGAGAUAGAGAGAGACAGACGAUGAGAGAGAGAGGAAGUGCUUUUUUUAGAUCCUUAUGUUCUGCUUUAGAUUAGAGGAGAAGGGGGGACACGGGGCCCAGGCCGCGCGUAGAUGACGAGGGGGGACACGCGGACUUGGUGGGCCGCGGUGUUUUUGUACCCGACUCGCUGCCCCCCACCCGCGGGCGCCUGGGAGAGAGAGAAGAGAGAGAUGAGAGAAAAUAGAUGGACGGGGGCCGGGAGGGGGACCAAGGGAUGUCCUUCUCUCCUCUCCUGCCACACAUCUUGACUCUCCCUCCCCUCCUGCUCUCCCUCUCCACCACCACCCCCCCUCUUUCUCUCGCCUCUCCCAUCUCUCUCCCCCUCUCUUCCCUAUUCUCCCCCCGCUCUUUCUCUCUCUUGUGCCCUUACCCCAGCGUGGGGGGCGGCAGCGGGGGCGGAUAGAUCAAAGCGUGCCGCGCGGCGCGGCAGCGAGCGGAGUCUAGAUUAGGAGCGGCACCGGGCGCGGUGGGACACUGCCUGGCCGCGCGUGUGUCUUCGCCAGUGCUUUUGCGAUCGCUCUCCACACCGAACCUUCUGCUUUGCUGCUGGAGGGUAGCAUGGCGGACGCCUCAAAUCUACCUGGUACACAGUGAAGUAUCGCCGAGGAGGCGGACGCUCGAGCGGACGGGCGCCAGGACGGCGGCGAGGCACGCGCAGACGGCGCCGGGUCCGAGCACAGCGCGCGCAAGGGUGGGCUCAGCGGCUGGCGCCCGCACGAGCCGGGGGCGACGAGGGCAAACUGUCCCGGGGGCGGCGGACGGGGUCGGCACGCGCGCGGGCGUCUCCGAGGAGCGAGCGCGGCACGACCGGGGCGCGCGGGCGGAACCGAGCCGUAGUGGGGCUUGCACAGUGCCAGUCCCAUCUCGGCCAAAGUGCCCGACACAUUAGAGAGGAACAGUCCAAGCCGAUAGACUCUUCUCAUUCUCCUCCGUCUUGCUAUAUAUAUAUAUAAUUUUAUUUAUAUAAUAUAUAUAUAUAUAUUAUUUAUUUUAUUUAAUAUAUAUUUAUGUAUUAUAUAUAGUAAUAUAUAUAUAUAUAUAUAAAUAAUUUUAUUUAUAAAUAUAUAUAUAUAUAUAUCUAUUAUAUACUAUUUUAUUUUUAUAUAGAUAUAUUAAAAAAUAAAAUAUAUAAAUAAAUAUUAAAUAAUUUAGACAUGCUGUAGAUCGUCGCCGCGUUGCGCUACUGCCACGCGCGCAGCGUGGUGCACCGCGACGUCAAGCCGCAGAACCUGCUCCUCGCUCGCGACGGCGUGCUCAAGCUCUCCGACUUCGGGCUCGCCGCGCUCGCGGAGCAGCGCGGCCGCGACGGGCGCCUACGCACGGCGUGCGGGACCCCGGCCUACGCGGUACUCUUUAUUAAUGGCUCUGAGACUUUCUCUUGAAUUGGUUAGAUGCCAUAGGAGCUUUAAUUUCAUUUAUUUAUUGGAAGGGCCCAUAGGAUUAGUUUGUUUUAAUUGUAUAACAUAUAUUUUUUCUACGGCAUUUCAUCCUCUCUCUCAGCUUCAUUUUUUUUAUAUAUAUAUUUCUUUUGAGAUGCUCUUUGGAUGCAAGAUAGUAAUCAGUGCUCAUUUUGUGAAAACUGAGUUACUUUUUCAAGGUAAAUUAUGUGAGAUUUGGACUGUGUUGGUAGAAUUUAUUAGUGUGCAGCGAAAGAAGUUAACUUGAAAAUGAAUUUUUAUUCCCCCUUAUUUGUGUUAGUCCCCUUGAUUAUUUAUCUGAGUAUCAAAUUAUAAAAUGAAGUGAAUCGUACACUUCUAGGCUUUUUCAAGCAUGUGGUAAAUUUCUGGGUUUCACUUCUAAUGCUGCGGGUACGACGGGGCGCGCGCCAAAGCGUGGUCGUGCGGGGUCAUCCUCUUCGUGCUCCUCGCGAGACGGCUCCCCUUCGACGACGCCAACAUCCCGCUCAUGUACCGGAGGAUCCACCGGCGCGACUACACGUUCCCGCUCUGGGUCUCUCCCCUUCUGCAACCACCUCAUCUGCCUCUACGCCCAAUGCCGCCUCCCCGUCGCCGCCCGCAAGGUGCUCGACGAAAUCCCCCAAUUAAAAUUUUCUAUUUAAAUAUAUAUAUAGUAAUAUAUUAUACUAUAAAUAGAGAGGAGAGAGAGGAGAGAGGAUGAGAUGAAGAGAGAGAAGAGAGAGAGAGAGAGAGAGCUAGACCUAUGCUUCGAAAGUACGGAGCGCUCCGUACUUGUCAGUUGUUUUCAAUAAAUGGGACAUCCGAUUGUGCGAUCGGUUCUGUUAGACAUGAUCUACGCUGUUGGAACUACCUAAAACAAAUUUAUAAUGUUUUUGUUCGUUUUGUCUAGUAAACGAUGUAGCCUCAAAAUGAAACGGGCUGAAUAAUAAAGAUCUCAUAAAAAACAAGUGAAAAUGACUCAAAUUUGAAAUCAAAGUAUUGAGUUUACUAGUUGAUGUUAAGUAGAUUUUCUAUUAAAUUUUCAUCUAAUUUGGAUCUUCAUACAUACCGUGGAACUUGAAAAGUGCUUACAUCGCGGCCAUUAAAAAUAGUUCAUUUUUUAGACCUUAUUGAUCGACUUGGUAAAUAUUCAAAAUUAAAAAUUUGGUUUCAUAAAUAAUUCCUAAUUGGUAGAUUUAACUUAAACGGAGCCGCCGAACGAAUCGGAUUUGUUAUCAUCGAAACAACUUAAAGGUAGGAGGUCCGUACUUUCGAAAGUACAGAGUUCUUACUAUAAUAUAUAUAUUAUAUAUAUAUAUAGUAUAAUAUAUAUAUAUAAUAUAUAUAUAAUAGUAUAAUAGGUUGGAAUAUAAAUUAAUAGUAAACCUUCUUUUAUCUAUUCAAUUUUAACCUUGGAUUAAAAUUGUAGGUUGGAUGAUGAUAUGUCGGUUAGAAUUAGUGGUCCAAAGGUUGGGUGGUCCCCACUUAGGUUAUAGUAUUUUAAUCCAAUGGAUUAGUUGAAAUAAUGAAAUAGUUGAUCAAAGGUAAAAAACUGUAGCAUAUCAAUAAAAUUUGGCUACUAAAUUAGUAGCCCAGUCCAACUCUCUCUCUCUCUCUCUCGUCCUCUCUCUGCUCUCUCUCUCUCUACUAUAUAUAUAUAGAAUAAUAUACACAUAGAGAUAGAGAGAUAGAAUAUAUAUUCUCUCUCUCUUUUUUUUUUCCUUUCCCAAUUUUUUUUUUAGUAUUGUGAUUCACAUACAAAAAAAUAAAAAUUUAAAUUUAAACUUUAAAUUUAAAUACAACAAUUAAAAUUUUCUAUUCAAAUUUAUAUAUAUAUAUAGAGAGAGAGAUAGAAUUAUAAAAAUAUAUAUAUAAUAAAUAUAUAUUUAUAAAUAAUAUAUAUAUAUAUAGAGAGAGAGAGAGAGAAAGAGAGAGAGAGAGAGAAUUUUAUAUAUAUAUAUAUAUAUGUAUAUAUUAGUAAUUAAGAUAAAAUAUAAAUAUUUUAAAUUUUAAGUUCUAAAUUUAAAAUUUAAAAUUUUAAUAUUUUAAAUAUAUAUUAAAUUAUAAAUGGAAUUUUAAAAAUCCAAAUAUUAAAUUCUAAAUAUUGAAAUUUUAAUUUGAUAUAUUAAAAUUUAAAUUUUAAACUUCAAUAUUUUAUAUUUUAAAUUUAAAUUUAAAUUUUAAAUAAUAAAAUAUUUUAAAAUUUAAAUAUUUAAUUAUUUAUUUCGAUUUUUGUUCGUAAAUUUGUCGCUGUGAAGGGCCGGCCUUCACUCGUGGUAUUAAUUCUAGUGUAGAGGACAGUGGUACACAUGCUGUUAUUGUAAUUUCACAAGACAAAGUGAUAUCAGAGUGAUUGGGAGAAAUCGAUGGCAGAGGCGGACUCAUCCGGCGCCGAGGCCUCCGCCGCCGCCAGCCGCCGCCAGGCGAGGUGGUCUCUUCGGGGCAUGACGGCUCUCGUCACCGGCGGCACCCGAGGAAUCGGGUCUCUCUCUCUCUCGUCGUCUCUCUCUCUGUCCGCCUACAUUUACCUCUCUCUGUCGUACUUUUUACGCUUUUUACUCUUCUUCUCAGGCAUGCGGUGGUGGAGGAGCUGGCGGCGCUGGGAGCGGCGGUGCACACGUGCUCGCGGAAAGAGGGGGAGCUGAAGGAGUGCCUGGAGAAGUGGGCGGGGCUAGGGUUUCACGUCACGGGCUCCGUCUGCGACCUCUCCGUGCGGGAGCAGCGGGAGGCCCUGAUGCGGGAGGUGGCUUCCGCCCUCGAUGGCAAGCUCAACAUCCUCGUAAGAAAUGGACGCAUUUUUUACUUUUUAUUUCUCUCUGUGUUGUGCCGAUGCUGUUGUUGCUCUUCUUGUUAGAUGGGCUUUAACAAGUUACUGUUGGUAUCCGAGACCCAAGUUCGAAUCCUAGUUGAUUCACAUUUACAGCUAAGUUUAUUUUAUUUAAAAUAAACGAAGCGGGUAGGGUGCUACCUAUCUCUCAAAAAAAAAAAAAAAAAUUUACUGUUGGCGGAUUUGAAGGAAAGGGUGUUGAGAUGGAAUGCUAGAAUGCAUACCCUUUUAUGUAUGAUUUGAAAGGUCCAAAUAAAAAAUAAAAAAAAAAUUUAAAAUCGCUUCCAAUCUUCCGGCAGUUGACCAAUUUUAUAAAAAAUAAUUGCAGUUGGAACCGCAGCAUGCUCCUCCGGUGGCGAAUUACUACUACAAUUUUUUUAUAGCAUAGAAGGAGAAAAGAUUGGAAGCGCUAUCGAAUGCUUUAGGCCUUUCAAAGCAUAAAAAGGAUGCUUUUAGUUGCUGCAUUACCAAUUAGUCUCAUAUGCCUCACUGAUUGUGUCUUCUUGUAAUUGUGAGGAAUUUUUUUUUUUUUUUAGGUGAUUUUCGUGAGGAAACAUAACCAAUAACCCCAGAUAAUUAGCAUAGGCCUCUAGUAGUCUUCUUGAUCUGUUGUUAAAACUUGUGCUUUCUAUAUAUGUAAGGUUUAUGGAGUCUAGCAAGAUGAGUUAUGUUGAAUAUAAAUAUAAAAACAUUGUUCUAUGAUAGUUUAAGCUUUUAGAGAAUAAUUAUUGCUUCACAUUCUUUACCAUGGUAUCAUAGCAUAGGUCCUAACUUUUAGUCCCGCAAAGCUGCUAGCUUUAGUUUCUCCUGUUUAAUUCAAGUUCAUGUUUUGGGCAUAUGAAAAUGGCCAGCGCAGACAUAAGGCGGAUUAUUGAAUAUAAAUAUUAAAACGUUCUAUUGUAGCUUAAGUUUUUGGAGAAUAAUGGUUGUUUUGCUUUUUCUUAACAAAUGGGAUUGAAAUGGGAUGCUAUGAUUAUGAAUUGAUAAAAGCGGAGAAAGUGUUCAGUGUUCUGCUAUGGAACUUCAUGAUGGGUGACUGGAUGUUGGGCUUAGUUUUUUUUUUUUUUUUUUUGGUCUAAAUGCAUUGCAGAUUAUGUCUUCUUGAAAUUUGGGAGUGUUAAUUGGUGAAUUUUCUUCUUUUAAUAAAAGUUGUCAUCUAAAUGGUGAUUUGAAAGAGGUAUCAUGACCGGAUGCCUUAUAUCGUACGAAAAGGAAGGAUGGUGAUUGAGGUGCAUGGAUAGCCAAAAACUACCAUAGAAUUCUAUGUAGUUGGCUUGCUGAUGCUAAAGAAGGGCAUCCUCUUCGAGAAGAAAAAUACAUAGUAGACUAUAUGAAGAGCUUUGAUACGAAAUGUCAGUUGAAUCCCUUUGUUAAAAUUGGCAUUGACCAAGAAGGGUUCAGAUUAGAUGAAUAACACAGUCAUGGGCAACUGAUAAAAAUGUGUAGAAUGACAACCAUCGCUGUUUUCGGUACUUUUUACUAGCGGUUAAGUGUGAAAGUUUUUGCUUGUAUAAUCAUAAAUAAACACAUUCAAAAGUACAUAGUAAGCCUUGCAGUUAAUGACCAGCAGCCUUUAGUCCUGCGGCAUGUGCUGUGCUACGACUCAGUACAGCCUAGUUCUAGUUUUAAAUCUUUUCAAAUAUGAUUCUUUAUAAGUCCCUUGAUGGAAUUAUCUACUAAUUUUAACUGCAAUUCUUGAAAAUGUUUUGGCACUGAAUCAAAUUAAGGGUUAAAACUUGACUAAAACCAGAUUUCCCAAAAUAAUUGUCAUUCAAUCAAGAAUUUUUGUACAAUGUUUGAAUGAUGCUUAUAAUGGCUAAUGUUAAAUAUUGGUGUUCACUGAUUUUCAAGUUUUUUUAGAGAUUACUUGGAUUUAUCAAAUUUGGAGUAACAGACAGAGAAAGCCAAAUUCCCCCCCAGAUUAACCCUCCUUUUCAUCAAAUAAUUAUUGAGAUAUGUAAAUGGCCUUAUAAGAGAGCUUUGAAGGCAGUUCCGAGCACUUCUGCUCUUCCAAAGAUUGGAGGACGUGAAAAAAGGAUUUUGGGCUUGUGGUUUAAGGAAACAGUAUACCAUGCCAAAAUUGUGUUGGAUUGGGAGCAGGGCACUCCCUAGGUGCAACUACAUAGAAUCUGCUCAAAAGGGGCAAUGGAUCAACUAACUUGUUGUUGUCCAGCUAACAAUCAAAUUUCCUGUUAUUUGUUGUGCUCACUUCAACAAUUUAUAUGGAAGAGAAAUCAACUAUUGGUGAUACUAAAUUACUAAGGUACUUAGUGAAGAGGCAUGCUCUUUGGCGCAAAUUUGUUCGAGAAAUGAAAUCUUUUGGAUGCUUUAAUGCCAUUGAACAGUAAAUAACGUUGAUUUUUUAAUACCAUGUAACAAAUGAUUUUUGAAUUUGUAAUUGCAGAAAUCUUUUGGUUGUGUAUCCUUCCUAUCGGAUGAUAGAUAUCUCAUUCUCUUGACAUUGCUUGAUAAUUUCAAAGUAACUUAUGAAUUUCUCCUAAGCUGCUGAAAUUGGGGCAAAACCACAUUUUCUAUCUGCAAAUCCUUUGUUCUCAUUUGUUUUUAUUCUUUUGAAUGAUUUCUCGUUUCAUUAUUUUCUGUAGAUAAACAAUGUUGGAACAAAUAUAAGGAAACAAACAGUUGAAUAUUCUGCGGAGGAGUACUCUUUCCUUAUGACCACCAAUCUUGAAUCUGCAUACCACAUGUGCCAACUUGCACACCCUCUUCUUAAAGCAUCCGGAAUGGGAAGUAUUGUUUUCAUUUCCUCGGUCGCUGGGGUGGUAGCUUUAAACAGUGGAACCAUAUACGCUGCAACAAAAGGUAAUGGUGAUGUGAUAAAUCAUCUUAUUAUGCUGUUUUUGAAGAUUUUUACAUAUGUAUCGCUGUGGGAUUUAUAUUUUCUUAUUUGCCCUUUAGACUCUUAAUUUCGAAGUUGUAUACAAUUAAACUGUUGUAUACCCUUAUACUACAAACUUACGAAGCCUUUUUCAAUAUACAACAAGCUUUCCUUAUGAAUUGGAUGGUUCUCCAGUUUAGGAUACUCUCUCUCUUUUUCUUUUUUUUUCUUUUUUUUCUUUUUGUUUUUGUGAGGGGUAUACAUGAAAAUUUGGAUUUUCCAGGGGUAUACAUAAGUAUCAGUUUAGUAUUUUUCAGUUUUUGUGUGGAAAGAUCGGGUUUUGAAUGGAACUGCAUUUCGGGUACAAGUUCUGACUUUGUUAUCUCUUUGGUCACACAAUUUUUACCACAGGAGCAAUUAACCAGUUGACAAAGAACUUAGCGUGUGAAUGGGCAAAAGACAACAUCAGAACCAAUUCUGUUUCCCCAUGGUACAUCAAGACAUCACUCGUAGAGGAGGUACAAACUUUUCCUCCCUAUAUAACGUAUCUGAAAUUACUACAUUUUUUCAUUGCUUCAAUAAAUAGGAAUUUGGACACUGCAUUCAAUUCCCAGAUCUAUUUGCACUGUGGUACACACGGGUUGACGGACUUGUACAGGGUUUUAUUACUGCUGAGGUCCAUAUGCAUGUGCAUGUGUGCAUGUAUCCGUACAUUCCUCGAUAGUUAUGCAUAUUACUAUUAGUUGGGUUGAGGUGCUUUCAGAAGAAUCGGGCACAUACUUGAAGAAGCAUGCCGACUUGAUGCACAUCGAGUUUCGCACUCAUUAGGGUCCAAGAUGAUGCAUCCGUGCGGAUCACGAUGCAGAUCUGACACUUUUAAGGUCAGAAGCACGGAGGGGCCAGUGCUUUUGGAAGCGCUAACCUAGCUCUAUACUUCCCCUGUACUUCAUGCACAAGAUUACGAUAAGCUUUUGUUGUUCUCCUGCUAAUUGCGUGUGCUUUAAUGCCAAAAAAGGACGGAAGUGAAUGUCCAUGAUUUGUUCAUUCUCUAUGUGUAGUUACUAGAGCAAAAGGAAUUCGUGGAGAAGGUGAUUGAGCGGACCCCUCUUCGAAGGGUGGGAGAGCCUGAGGAAGUGUCGUCGCUUGUAGCGUUUCUCUGCCUCCCUGCCGCAUCUUACAUCACCGGACAAACCAUCUCUGUCGACGGAGGGAUGACCGUUAACGGGUUCUACCCCUAGCAUUGCUUGAUUCCGUCGCAUCAAAAAUGAACUUCCGGUGAAUAGCUAAUAAUAAACUCCUCUCCCUUCUUCAGCAUUUGGUACUGAAUUCUAGUCCUACCAUGUAUUGCGAAAGGUUACAGGGACCAAAAGCUGAAUUAUUUGUAUGAGGAUUAUUUGUACUGAAUUAUUUGUAUGAGGAUUAGAAGUUGCAAAGCUGAAUCGAAUAAAAGCUGUUUAUCUGGAUGAAAUUUAUCCAAACCGGGUAUCUUUCUUUCAUGGUUAUGGUCUUAUUAGUGAAUUACAUUGCUGGUUACUAAACUUUAACUUGACGUGAAGUUGUAUUGAGGUCAUUAAAAUUUUAAUUUGUUAUCAUCUAGUCAGUAAACAUCGGUUUCCAAUUCACAGAAAUGACCCCUUCAAACUUCAUUCAAUUUUUAUUUAGAAAAAUAAUUUGAAAACUCUUUGAUUGCCAUGUCCCCUGAUCAAAUCAUAGUUGUCGUGGGAUGAUGUAUGUGGUAAGUGAAUUAAUUGCCCCAUUAGUUAUUCCUACGCCAUCUAUUGGUUGCGACGUGGUUGCUAAAUCUGCUAUAAUUUGUUUCAGUAAAAUCAAACGGAGUAGAGUGAAGUGAUCCAACUGAAACAUAAAUUAAACUUUUGUUAUUUAAUUAUAAGAAACUGAAGUUUGCUUGUUUGAAUGGUACUCGUGUGGUGCGUUUAGUAGCCAAGGGUGUAACACCUUCGGAAAAAAAAAAUAUUCAAUGAUAAAUAUAUUAUUCAAUAUAAAAAUUUUCUUGUGGUUGGAAAUAAUGAGUCUUAAUUUUAUUUCCUGAAAACUCUUUGCAUUUAUCCUAAAUGAGUCUAAAUUUUAUUUCCCCAAAGCUCUUUGCAUUUAUAAUUUGUUAGGAUAGCAUAUUUUACAAACGAGGUUAUUUAUUUUAUUUCGAAAAAAAAACUUGUAUGUCAAGUUGUUAGUCAAUUCUAAGUAUUUGAUCAUAUUUCUUAUCUAUCAAAUAUUAUAUAUAUAUAUAUAUAUAUAUAUAUAUAUAUAUAUUUAUUUAUUUUACAAUUCUAUCUAUAUAUUUUUUAAUCCAAGGACUAAAAAAACUAAUAGCACCAAAUCUUUGGUACUAUUGAUAGUAUUCCAUAUAUUUUUUAAUCCAAUGACUAAAAAACUAAUAAUACCAAAUCUUUGAUACUAUUGAUAUAUAUAUAUAUAUAGCGAUUGAACAGUGAUAGACUCUAUUUGGAUGUAUAAACAUCACAAUUAGUACAUCUCUUCCAUGUGCUAAAAAACUCUAUAAUAAUUAGUAAAUAAGGAGUGCCAUGAAGGCCAUUUUUAGAUGUAGGAAUAAGUUAUUUAGAAAUAACCUAUUUGUUAUAAAACAAUUUUUAUUUAAUUGAAAUCAAAUAAUUUAAUUAUUUCCUAGGAAAUUAUCAAGAAAAAGAAGAAUUUCUUGAUAAAUAAAUUAUUUUAUUGGUAGAAGAUCUAGCUUAGUAAUAAACCAUACGACACGUGGCUGUUGGAUUGCAAGUGUCUUACCAAAACUGAUCGGCGCCAUGGAUAUUAAAAAUGCGAAAAAGCAAACAUUCUCUUGAGAAUUGAGCAUUUUGUUUUAUUUUAUUUAUUAGUUCUAUGAUGUAUCAUGUGUGAUCCGACGCACCUUUACCCUCCAAUUCUCUAUUAUUUAUAUAUGAUCUAUCGAUAUGUGGCUUGGUUUUAAGCUAUGUUAGUUAAUUCGUGAAUCUUUUGCAAAUUUUUGAAGAAACGAAUUAAACGAUCGAAUUCAUAUUUUUUCCAAAAAUUCAGAAAAAAAACAUAAUUUUUUAAUAAAAAAAUACUUAUUCGCAUAUUAUGCGCGCGCCGAAUUAUUCGGCCAAAAAAACGCCACGACAGCGCCGCGAGCGCCCGCGCGCUCCCGCGCCUCGCGCGCUCCCGCGCGCUCGCGGCUCGCGGCUCACGAUCACGGCUCGCGGGCCUCGCGGGCCAGCUAGCCCAAAACAGAAAAAAUACAAAAAAAAAACCCUUUCUAACCACCUCACCCAAAAUAGAAAAAAAAACUUUUUUUGAAUUUUUUACUUAAUUAGCUUAAUUUUGUAGCUAUUUAUUCUUAUAUUCUUAAGAAAUAUAAGUAUUUAUGCUAAUAGCAUAAAUCUUGAGAGAAAAAAAACUUAAUUUAAUAGCCGAAUUUUUUAUCCCGAAUUUUUAAUUGGUGAACAUAUAAUAUCCGUAUAAAUCACGUAUCCGAAUAAUUGACGAAUCCCUUUUUUAGCCGUAUUUUUCAACGAAUUUAAAAAUUAAAAGACAAAUUUUAUUCGAAUUAUACCCAUACCAAAUUUUUGCCGAAUCCGAAUUAACUAACUAUGGUUUUAAGUAAGAUCGGAUUUAUCCCUGUUGAAUAAAAACCACGGCAAUGCACAGUAAGUUUAAUCAAAAUUUAAUUCUCAAACUUUAAUUAGUCGAAUACAAGCGAGAAUUCUUGCGUAUCGUGAGUUGUGUCCCGAAUUAUGAGUGUCCGUAAGGGGAUAGCCGGGUCCUGACACCGGCAACGACCUUUUCCUUUCCGGAACAGCCUGUGGGCGUGCCACCUGCGGCAUGGUCUGUAGAGCGAGCGUUGAGAACAUGGCAACCGAAGGGUUCGCGGCGGGUGCCUGGUGGCAGUGGGUACGCAACCCGGGUUGUAGAACCUACUGCUAGUGACGACGUCGGAGCAGGUAUGGUUUAAUUGAAGCAAUUGUAUGCUUUUGCAUGAUGUCAAUUUGGUACAUUGCAUGCAUUUACCAUGUGGUCAAUUACUACUAUGUAUGCAUUAGUAUAGUAGGGACCAAGUGGACGGGUAGGUAUAGACACCCGGCAUGCUGAUGUUGUGAGAGCGUGUCACCUGUUGGAGCAAGUGGAGAGUUAGAUGGUACUAGCGAGUUGCUGGUGAAUCGUGCCUGUGUAGUCGGUGCGCGUAAGCAAAGUUGCCUAAUGCUGAACUUAGUGUGAAAGAGUAUAAAAGCGUACGACGCUCAAGUGUAGAUACUCGUGGAGUGUGGGUUUGGCUCAGCCGAGAGAGUGUGUUGGCAGUAGCACUUCAGCAUUGUUAGGUGUGAAACGUGCCAUGGAUCACUCGUAGGGCUGGUGGCUCGCAUUAGGUACAUAGGAGCCGAUAGUGGUAUGUGUGGCUCGGUAGAGCAUGUCAAGUAGGACGAUGAUGGCGGGUAUUGCUUGGGGACGAUCGGUGCCUAGAUCAUUUGUGGACUGUGGAGCCUGGGGCCAUUUGGACAGGAGCAGUCAGCUGUGUAGAACAGCGGCCCGGUACCUACAAAUAGGGCAGAGGCUUUGGUCGGGGUGGUAGUUCGAGCUUAGACCCGGAAGCGUGGAAUGCCACGUGUUGGACCGUGUGAUCGAUAAUUCACCGAUGAUACACCGAGAGUGUGUAGUGACCCAACCGAGGAUAUGACGUGGUUUGGGUUCUUGGUUGCUCCUGGUUGGAGUGUGUGCGAAUUCUCCAAUGAGAAUUUCGCCCAGUGAUGAUUGGGUCUGCGCUUGCGAGCGAGAGACGUUGCGCGUAUUGAGAAAGGUUUAGGCGGUAGGCCUACGUAGGAUUGGUGGCCUGUGGUCCACCUAUGGAAACCGAGGAAAGCGGUUGGCCGGUAAUUCUGUUAAUGAGAUUAGCUUAGAUUCACGAACGAAGUGUUCGUGUGAGCUCAUUGCAAGAGUGAGCUGAUGUUGGCCAUGGCAUAUGGUAUCAAAAAGAUAAAGUGCUCUUUGUGAGACAAUGAGCUAGUGAAAAGCAACGUGAUGUUUGGGGACUAUGCUCUUAGGUGUAUUGGAACUCGGGAUGUGCCGAAGUGUGCCAUCUCACGGUAAAGCUGAGAGUCCAGUUGUGAUUGGAGCACUCGCGAUUGAGCGAUGCAUCUGUGAUAUUGCUUCGAAGCAAUGCCAGGAAUCGAAUCGGAGUGUGUUCCCUAAAGGGGAUGGUAAAUGCAACGAAGAGUCGUAUAUGGUGAUAUGGACUCUUGUGAGAUUCGAGGAGGUCUACCCGUACGUAUGGUGUAGUGGUGGUGGACCAUUCGACUGGUUGAUGUAUUCUUGUUAGAUCCACACCACGAGGAUGAGGGGUAGUCCUGAUCUCGAAGGAAAGUGAUAUCCGGUGGUAAUGGUGACAUGCCGGGUAAUGAGAAUAUGUUAGAACCCUUAGUUACUCGAGAGGUCGAGUUGAGGUAUGAUUUAAGUUUUGAGGACGAAACUCUUUUAAGGGGUGGAGAAUGUAAUAUACUGAACUUCUACAACUAUGUAUUUUUAGUGGGAACUAGCUUGAAAAGCUAGUAAAAUAGUUUCGGCGAAGUUCGAGAAGCAUUUGAGUGUUUUCGGCGCAAACCGGACGUGAAAACUGGUUCCAAAAACUAAAAUUUGUAUGAAGUGCAGAAUUUUGUACUGAGUACUGGUACUGAAAAACUGGGUACCGGUACUAAACCGGUCAGGUACCAAUAUUGGAAAACUGGGUACCGGUACGCAGUGUUAAAAAUGUGGCAGAAUGUAGUUUUUGAGCUGCAGGACCUACGGGGUCCGGACCCUAGCGCCAAGGUCCGGACUCUGCACGCGAAAUGGCCCUGAAUGAGGGCAUUUUGGUAAUUUUGGGGGUUGGACUUGUAGAAAUACCCCUCCUCCUUCCUUUCCCUGUUGGAGAACACAACACACGCCCACACCCACACAUGUAGAGAGAGAAGAUCUCCUUUCUCUCUCUAGUCUCCUCUCUUUUCCUCUCUAGAUCUCUCUCCCAAACUUAGGGUUUUGGUGGAGAGCAAGUUCGGAAACGCGCGGGGAGCGGUGGAUCGAACCUUCGCGUGCUUGGUGGUGCGGCGUGCUUUCGACUCGAGGUUCGUAUUUUGGUAAGAGUUUAGGAUUUGGAUUAAAUCCUUCAUGCAUAAUAUUCUGGUGAUCCCUAGAAUAUUCUAAGCAUGUUUCUCUAUGAUUUUGGGGUAUUUGGAGAAAUGGGGAAAAGCUAGGGUUUGGAAUUGGGGGUUUUGGGGUUUAUGGGUUUUGUGUUAAGGAUUUUGUAUUGGCAAGUUUCGUGAAGUGAGUCGGAGUCUUGAAGGAUCGAAGCGGAUUGACAAAAAUCGAAGAAUCCGAGACUUCGAAGAAAUCAGAAAAUACCUCACGACGUGAAUCACAAGGCUCAAGUAAAGUUUUGAUUCAUGUUAUGGUGAUUCAUACUUAGUUAUAGGCAUUAGAAUCAUAAACUCAAAGUUCAAUGGAUUAGAAGUGCCUCGGAACGUUGUGAAACCCGAAAUAGUGCAAUGUGUGAAAAAAUGCACUGCUUACUGGUACAGCAAUUGACCAGUACCGGUACAGUCAUCAACUUUGGCUUCGCAGAUUUUUGUUCCGUUAUUGUGUAACCGGUGACAGCCUUUCGUGUACCGGCACACUGUGUAAAAUCGUGAAAACUUUCUAAUCCGACUCUGUUUGAUUCUAAAGUCUAUAAAUAAGCUAUUGGGGUUCUCUAACAUAUCAAGCAUCACGAAAAUACAUGUUUGAGAAACCCUAGAGGCUCGGAUUUCAUCUAAAACCUAUUUUCUACAUAAAGCCUCUUUUAGGUCAAAUCGAGAUUUUGGAUUUUGAUAUCAAUAUGUCGAUUUGAUCUCCACUUCGCUUAGAGUUUGCUUCCCUGGUUUUCAUCGAUACUCUAAGCGAAGGAUCACCAUACACAUGAUGUUCUUCAUGAUGGCGUCGUGGAUUCGGCGUGAUUGACGGCGGUUCGUGGAUUCGGAUCGUGGGCUCGUGGAUUCGAGUGGCGUUCGUGGAUUCGGACGUGUGCGAGGCGUUCGUGGAUUCGAACGUGAGGGCGUGGACAACCCGGAGGAUUGCGCGAGAUUCAUAGGAGGUUAAGAGAGGUUGAGUCCGUGGAGUCGGUAAUCACCUUGUAAUCUUUUCUCUUAGUGAAUUAUUUUUUCGCGUGUUGGUCCCGUGGGUUUUCCUCCAAGUUUGAGUUUUCCCACGUAAAUCUCGGUGUGAUUUUUAUUUUCCGCAUUUAUUUUAUCGCAUUGAGAUUUAUGGUUUUUGGCUAUUACACCUAUUCACCCCCCUCUAGGUGUUAGAUACAAUCUAGAUAGAUCCUUGGGCUCCUCAAAACUUUCAAUCGGUAUCAGAGCGGGAUCUAGAUAAAUUGUUUAUCUAAUGGCCGAAGGCUGAAACAUUAAUCGACCACCGCUCUUUGAUGGCACAAACUAUGCCUGUCACGCCCUGCCCCGAAACCCACUACCAAUUUGGCACGGUUCGGCCGCGGCGGCAGACUGCCGAACGGACAGCAUCUCCCCUGUCCGUCCAAGGCUCAACAAUAAGAAUGUGUACAAGAAUUUACCCAGGAACUCAAAUUCUAAACGUGCACAUUCACAAGGGCGCAAACAAUGCCGACAAUACAAAGAGCAAGUGAUCCACAAGAUGUACAUGUGAAAUAAAGAGAGUAAUUUACUAACUUUUACAGUAGUUUUCAUUUACAUCAUUUUCUUCAAAUGAAUACAUUUUCCAUCUCAAAAAUAUAUAGCUCUCCAAGUCCUCACCUACAAUGAAUCUCUCAAAUACAUAGGUGAACUAAUGCAAAAAGGAAAGCUACCAACUACCACGGUCUCACUGAUCGGGCGCGAUGCCCUUGCCGCGGUCCUCCCUCGGCAAUCCUGUACCUACCACUGGAAAUAGAGUGGGGUGAGAACUAUCUUCCAUAGUUCCCAGUGGGCUCGGCCGCCGACUCUGCCGAUCUCCCCACUAGGUCCAAGUGGGCACAAGUAACAACAGAUAGAUAGAUAGAUAUGUAUCUGAAAGCUGUAAAUGCAGUAGUAGGAAAACUAUGCUACUAUGCCCAUAAUCAUGAAUAUGAAUGCAUGCAUCAUAUAAUAAAGGUUUGCUAUCAUGCUAACAAAUUCGAUCCAUGUUCGAAUAAUAAUGUUCAAUGGCAUUGUUCACUGUUCUUUUACCCAAUCUGUAGCGAAGCCCUAGGGUUCGCAAAUAACUCACCUUUCAAUCCCAAAGUGGGGAGGGAGCUCCAAGUGCACCCAAGCCCGGGACCGUCUGCGGACCUCCAUGUGGUCCGGACCUCCAAGUGGUCCUAGUCGCGCGACACUCCGGAGUACUCGACGACAAUCCCCUCCAUGUGGGGAUUGGAUGGCUAUACCAUCCCAAACGCAGACUGUGAGCUAGAUCUAUCCUCUCCAAGUGAGGAUACACUAUCACUAGAGUCAACAACCCAAUCCAAUCCUCUCCAAGUGAGGAUGCACUAUGUCUAGGGAUCACAACCCAAUCAAAUCCUCUCCAAGUAAGGAUGCUCUAUAACUAGAGUCAACAUCUCUUGCGGGAUCAUUUGUUCCCGGCAUUCAUGCAAUGCUAUUUAGCUUGUCUAAAUUCAUUGUUCACAAGGCAUUUUCUAAGGGAUCCACCUAUCCCUAGGUUCUCAAACCUCUAGUGUCAUAUACACUACAUUAAUGCCACUCAUCAUCAUUCAAUGUUUGGAUGCCACUCGUUUGUUCUUUAACAUUAACAACACUUUCUAUGUCAUCAACACCCCCAUCGGGUUCAUCUCUAUCUUUCGCAUCAUAGGAUCCACGUUCCGACCCAAUCCUCAUUUAUCUAGGUUACCGAGCGUUCCAAGUACAGUAGGUUAUCAUUUAGAAAGUAUAAGGAAGGGAGGUACUAUGCAAUCCUACAAUGCAACAUGAAGAGAUGAGAUUAAAUGCAAUUCUAAGACAUAGAAAGGAGUCCGAAAGCUUCGGGAUGGCACCCCUUACCUUUAAUCGAUGUAGAGCCUUGGGAUAUUCUUCUCGGCGAACUUUACGAAAAGGCUUUAGCCUUCCUUGCCCAAAUCAAUGCUAGCCCAGCCCUAUUUUGCCGAGAACUUCACGCCGGUUCGCCGAAUGCCAAAACCGACUUCGCCCCCACGUUUUGUGACCUAACAAUAGGGUUUCCAAGGCUUCAAAUGAGAUCAAUCUCAUAUAUUCACAAAAGCCCCAUUUGGAGCCCUAGAUUUGCACCUAUAGCAAACCACCAAUAAAUCCCUAGAUUUCUUGGGAUUGAUCUAUUUAGAAGCUCAUUUAGGGUCCAUUUGACCUAUUCCAAAGCAUAAAAACCCAAAACUCCAAAGUUUAGAAGCUAGGGCUCAAGAGCCUACCUCUUGUGCUACACCAAAGAGAAGAGGAGAGGGAGAUGGAGAUGCUCAAAGCCUUCCUCUUGAUCUCCUUCUUCUUCUCCUUCCUUAUCUUCCUCUUCUUUUCCUUCAUCUCCUUCUUGUUCUUCUUCUUCUCCUUUCUUUUCUAGAGAGAGAGAGAGCAAUGAGAGUGAGAGAGAGUGAAAUGAGAUGAGUGUGAGGGAGAGAGAGGGCUCAGCCCACUCAAAUAAAAGCCAUUUUGCAUAAAAACCCCUCAACUUUCACUCCUGUGCACUGCCCUCACUGGGCAGUUUUCGCCCAGAGGGACCGAUCUCCCGGACUUUGGACCGAUCCCCGAGGGUUUCCCCUCGGGCGCACGCGUUCGGGAACCGGUCUCUCCCCGGGAGACUGGUCCUCGGGAGACCGGUCCUCGCCUGAAAGACCGGUCCCCGAGAGCUCGAUUUUCAUGACUUAGCCAAAUUUUGGCAUUUCUCGCUGGGACCACGUUCGAGAACCGGUCCCUCCCUGCCAGGGACCGGUUGCAUCAAGCAACCCCGCUACACCCAGCCAAGGGAACCGGUCUCUCACCUCCAGGGACCGGUCCCCGAGAGCAACAUCAGCCCAACGAUGCUGUUUGCAUCAUUCGCUCUCGUGGACUCAACUCCAAAUCACUUUUUGUAUUU
rnacentral:lncRNA from 1 species